UUAAGUAGAAAAGAGCGCACGGAGGAUGCCUUGGCACUAGGAGCCGAAGAAGGACGUGACAAACGACGAAACGCUACGGGGAGCUGUAAGUAAGCAAAGAUCCGUAGAUAUCCGAAUGGGGGAACCCACCGCUUUUAAAAGGGCGGUACGCGAAAGCGAGGUAACGCAGGGAACUGAAACAUCUAAGUACCUGUAGGAAGAGAAAGAAAAAUCGAUUUCCUAAGUAGCGGCGAGCGAAAGGGAAAGAGCCCAAACCAAUAUGCUUGCAUAUUGGGGUUGUAGGACUCUCAGAAAAGCGUAUGACAAAGUAUAGUAGAACGAGCUGGAAAGUUAGACCGUAGAAGGUAAAAGUCCUGUAUACGAAAUGCUGAGUUGGCGUGAGAGAGCACCUGAGUACGGCGGAACACGAGGAAUUCCGUCGGAAUCUACCAGGACCAUCUGGUAAGGCUAAAUACUACCUAGUGACCGAUAGUGAACCAGUACCGUGAGGGAAAGGUGAAAAGAACCCCGGGAGGGGAGUGAAAGAGAACCUGAAACCGUGUGCUUACAAGUAGUCAGAGCCCUUUAGGGGGUGAUGGCGUGCCUUUUGUAGAAUGAACCGGCGAGUUACUUUAUCAUGCGAGGUUAAGUGGAAGACAUGGAGCCGAAGCGAAAGCGAGUCUUAAUAGGGCGAAAUAGUAUGAUGGAGUAGACCCGAAACCAAGUGAUCUACCCAUGGCCAGGUUGAAGUUUAGGUAACACUGAAUGGAGGACCGAACCAGGACACGUUGAAAAGUGUUUGGAUGAGCUGUGGGUAGCGGAGAAAUUCCAAUCGAACUUGGAAAUAGCUGGUUCUCUCCGAAAUAGCUUUAGGGCUAGCCUCGUUGUGAGUUUACUGGAGGUAGAGCACUGUUUGGACUAGGGGCCCAUCCCGGGUUACCGAAUUCAGACAAACUCCGAAUGCCAGAUAAAUAUCAACGGGAGUCAGACUGCGGGUGAUAAGGUUCGUAGUCGAAAGGGAAACAGCCCAGACCGCCAGCUAAGGUCCCAAAUUGUAUGUUAAGUGGAAAAGGAUGUGAUGAUGCACAGACAACCAGGAUGUUGGCUUAGAAGCAGCCACCAUUUAAAGAGUGCGUAAUAGCUCACUGGUCGAGUGACAUCGCGCCGAAAAUGUACCGGGGCUAAACAUACAACCGAAGCUGCGGAUAUAACUAAUGUUAUAUGGUAGGAGAGCGUUCUAACAUCAUAGAAGCCGAACUGGAAGGUGAGGUGGAGAGGUUAGAAGUGAGAAUGCCGGUGUGAGUAGCGAAAGAUAGGUGAGAAUCCUAUCCACCGAAAGACUAAGGUUUCCAGAGGAAGGCUCGUCCGCUCUGGGUAAGUCGGGACCUAAGGUGAAGCCGAUAGGUGAAGCCGAUGGACAACAGGUAGAAAUUCCUGUACCACCGAAUAUCGAUUGAGAGAAGUGGGGACAGAGGAGGCUAAUUGAUCGCCCUGAUGGAAUAGGGCGUCUAAGCACAAAGACUGACAAGUAGGCAAAUCCGCUUGUUUAAAGGUUGAAGUGUGAUGGGGAGCGAAAUAUAGUAGCGAAGUCAAUGAAGCCAAACUCUCAAGAAAAGCCGCUAUCGAGAUAAGAGGUGCCCGUACCGCAAACCGACACAGGUAGUUGGGAAGAGAAUUCUAAGGUGAGCGAGAGAACCAUCGUUAAGGAACUCGGCAAAAUGACCCCGUAACUUCGGGAGAAGGGGUGCCUACGAGAGUAGGCCGCAGUGAAUAGGCCCAAGCGACUGUUUAUCAAAAACACAGGUCUCUGCAAAACCGAAAGGUGAAGUAUAGGGGCUGACGCCUGCCCGGUGCUGGAAGGUUAAGAGGAGUGCUUAGCGCAAGCGAAGGUAUGAAUUGAAGCCCCAGUAAACGGCGGCCGUAACUAUAACGGUCCUAAGGUAGCGAAAUUCCUUGUCGGGUAAGUUCCGACCCGCACGAAAGGCGUAACGAUUUGGGCACUGUCUCAACGAUGGACUCGGUGAAAUCAUAGUACCUGUGAAGAUGCAGGUUACCCGCGACAGGACGGAAAGACCCCAUGGAGC
rnacentral:rRNA from 1 species